CGGACGGGUGAGUAACACGUGGAUAACCUACCUAUAAGACUGGGAUAACUUCGGGAAACCGGAGCUAAUACCGGAUAAUAUAUUGAACCGCAUGGUUCAAUAGUGAAAGACGGUUUUGCUGUCACUUAUAGAUGGAUCCGCGCCGCAUUAGCUAGUUGGUAAGGUAACGGCUUACCAAGGCAACGAUGCGUAGCCGACCUGAGAGUGUGAUUGGCCACACUGGAACUGAGACACGGUCCAG
rnacentral:rRNA from 1 species